AGCAAGUUUCAGAGCCUUCUG
rnacentral:miRNA from 1 species